rnacentral:sRNA from 1 species
AACCGGCACAUCCUUUCGCUCAAGGAUCUCGAAGGUGCCGGCGCGCAGGAUUGCGCGGACGGUGGAAUCGA